rnacentral:rRNA from 1 species
CCUACGGGGGGCAGCAGUGAGGAAUAUUGGUCAAUGGGCGCGAGCCUGAACCAGCCAAGUAGCGUGAAGGAUGACUGCCCUACGGGUUGUAAACUUCUUUUAUAAAGGAAUAAAGUGAGGCACGUGUGCCUUUUUGUAUGUACUUUAUGAAUAAGGAUUGGCUAACUCCGUGCCAGCAGCCGCGGUAAUACGGAGGAUCCGAGCGUUAUCCGGAUUUAUUGGGUUUAAAGGGAGCGUAGAUUGGUUGUUAAGUCAGUUGUGAAAGUUUGCGGCUCAACCGUAAAAUUGCAAUUGAUACUGGCGGCCUUGAGUGCAGUUGAGGUAGGCGGAAUUCGUGGUGUAGCGGUGAAAUGCUUAGAUAUCACGAAGAACUCCGAUUGCGAAGGCAGCUUACUAAACUGCCACUGACAUUGAUGCUCGAAAGUGUGGGUAUCAAACAGGAUUAGAUACCCUUGUAGUC